CUUGAACUUUAUAAGAGGUCCAGCCUGCCCAGUGACUCUGUUCAACGGCCGCGGUAUCCUAACCGUGCGAAGGUAGCGUAAUCACUUGUUCUUUAAAUGUGGACUAGUAUGAAUGGCACUACGAGGGUUAUACUGUCUCCUUUUUCUAAUCAGUGAAACUAAUUUUCCCGUGAAGAAGCGGGAAUAUUACUAUAAGACGAGAAGACCCUAUGGAGCUUUAAACAACCCAGCAAUUACUUCUAAAAUUAUAAAUUUCAGAAUAUUCAUUUUUCUAAGUAACAUGUCUGCAAGUUUUUGGUUGGGGUGACCAUGGAGAAUAACAUAACCUCCAUAUUGAAUGAAUUCCCUUCUAAGCUAAAAAUUACCUAUUGAAGCAUCAAUAUACUGACAUCUAUUGACCCAAUAUAUUUGAUCAACGAACCAAGUUACCCUAGGGAUAACAGCGCAAUCCACUUCAAGAGCCCCUAUCGACAAGUGGGUUUACGACCUCGAUGUUGGAUCAGGGUAUCCCAGUGGCGCAGCC
rnacentral:rRNA from 1 species